rnacentral:rRNA from 1 species
AGCAGCCGCGGUAAUUCCAGCUCCAAUAGCGUAUAUUAAAGUUGUUGCAGUUAAAAAGCUCGUAGUUGAAUUUCGGGAUCAAUUAAUUGGUCGUGCCUAUGGUACGUACUGAUUUUAUUGGUUUCUCCCUUCUGACGAACCAUGAUGUCAUUAAUUCGGUGUCGUGGAGAAUCAGGACUGUUACUUUAGAAAAAAUUAGAGUGUUUAAAGCAGGCUAACGCUUAGAAUACAUUAGCAUGGAAUAAUGAAAUAGGACGUUUGAUCCUAUUUUGUUGGUUUCUAGGAUCGACGUAAUGAUUAA